rnacentral:lncRNA from 1 species
CUAUACUACUAAUUCAAAGUACAAAGAAAAAGAAAAAGAAAAAUCCCUGUCAUAUGCUGGCAUCCAUCAGUAGAUGCUCUCAGCGUAGAUCAACAUCUGAGUCAUCAUCAUCCUCAUCCUCCUGGACAUCCUCAAAGUCUUCAUCAUCCUCAUGGUCAUCAUCCUGUCCUCCUGAAAUUCCAGCAGCUCCGGACCCACUACCAUGUGCCUGUCCUCGAGGCCAAGCCAUCACACUACGGAACUCAUCCAUAGUCCACCUGUGCACUGGUGGUUGGUCAUAAAGAACUAUAAUCAUCUCAGCAGUGGCCACCUGCCCUCUGUAAAGGGACUUCAUCCUCGCCUCCAUCAUAGACAUGUACAUGUCUCUCAUCUGAAAAGGCUCAGGCUGCUGUGCCGGUGCACCUGCAGGCUCAUCCUCCUGCUGCGCUGCUGCCCUCCUAGGACGUCUCCUAGG